rnacentral:rRNA from 1 species
AUUCCAGCUCCAAUAGCGAAUACUAAUUCUGCUGCAGUUAAAAAGCUCGUAGUUGAACUUCUGGUAGGACAGAUCCGGCCUUUGGAUGAAUGUCCAUUGUAUGCUGUGUGUCUUGUCUGGCCAUCCUUUAUGUCUUUUAGGCGUAAUCUUUCACUGUAAAAAAAUUAGAGUGUUUAAAGCAGGCUUUUGCUAUGAAUACAUUAGCAUGGAAUAAUAACCUAGGACUUCGGUUCUAUUUUGUUGGUUUCUAGUACUGAAGUAAUGAUUGAUAGGGAUAGUUGGGGGUGCUAGUAUUGAGCGGCCAGAGGUGAAAUUCUUGGAUUCGCUCAAGACUAACUUAUGCGAAAGCAUUCACCAAGGAUGUCUUCAUUG